GGGGGCCCGCACAAGCGGUGGAGCAUGUGGUUUAAUUCGAUGCAACGCGAAGAACCUUACCUGGUCUUGACAUCCACAGAACUUUCCAGAGAUGGAUUGGUGCCUUCGGGAACUGUGAGACAGGUGCUGCAUGGCUGUCGUCAGCUCGUGUUGUGAAAUGUUGGGUUAAGUCCCGCAACGAGCGCAACCCUUAUCCUUUGUUGCCAGCGGUUAGGCCGGGAACUCAAAGGAGACUGCCAGUGAUAAACUGGAGGAAGGUGGGGAUGACGUCAAGUCAUCAUGGCCCUUACGACCAGGGCUACACACGUGCUACAAUGGCAUAUACAAAGAGAAGCGACCUCGCGAGAGCAAGCGGACCUCAUAAAGUAUGUCGUAGUCCGG
rnacentral:rRNA from 1 species